rnacentral:rRNA from 1 species
AAAUCUAUUGGUUAAGCUAGAAAGAGCGCAGGGUGGAUGCCUUGGCACUAAGAGCCGAUGAAAGACGUGAUAAGCUGCGAAAAGCUUCGGGGAGGAGCAAAUAUCCAAUGAUCCGGAGAUGUCUGAAUGGGGAAACCCGGCUGAGCAGACCUCAGUCAUCCAUACGCCAAUCCAUAACGUAUGGAGGGGAACCGCCUGAACUGAAACAUCUAAGUAGGGCGAGGAAAAGAAAACAACAUGUGAUUCCCAGAGUAGCGGCGAGCGAAAUGGGAAGAGGCCAAACCGGCGUGCGAGCAUGCCGGGGUUCGGACCGCGGAAUUGAUUCAGCGAGUUUAAUGGAAAGGUUUUGGGAAAGCCUGCCAGAGAGGGUGAAAGCCCCGUACAUGAAAAGCGAGCUGACAAGGCGGGAUCCAGAGUACCACGAGACACGUGGAACCUUGUGGGAACGAGCGGGGACCACCCCGUAAGCCUAAAUACUCCUUAGUGACCGAUAGCGCAUAGUACUGUGAAGGAAAGGUGAAAAGGACCCCGGGAGGGGAGUGAAAGAGAACCUGAAACCCUGUGUUUACAAGCUGUGGGAGCACAUCAAAGUGCGACCGCGUACUUUUUGUAGAACGGUCCGGCGAGUUGCCGGGACUGGCGAGGUUAAGUACUGAAGGUACGGAGCCGAAGGGAAACCGAGUCUUAACAGGGCAUAAAGUCAGUUCAGGCAGACCCGAAACCGGGUGACCUACCCAUGUCCAGGAUGAAGAUGCCGUAAAAGGCAUUGGAGGUCCGAACACACAUCCGUUGAAAAGGGUGGUGAUGAGGUGUGGGUAGCGGAGAAAUUCCAAUCGAACCCGGAGAUAGCUGGUUCUCCCCGAAAUAGCUUUAGGGCUAGCCUCGGUGCAGUCUCAUGGAGGUAGAGCACUGAAUUUCCUAGGGGGCGUCAAAGCUUACCGAAGAAUAUCAAACUCCGAAUGCCAUAGAGAUGGUCACCGGGAGUCAGACUAUACGAGAUAAGUUGGAUAGUCAAAAGGGAAAGAGCCCAGACCACCAGCUAAGGUCCCCAAGUACGUGUUAAGUGGAAAAGGAUGUGGGAUUUCAAAGACAGCCAGGAUGUUGGCUCAGAAGCAGCCAUACAUUUAAAGAGUGCGUAAUAGCUCACUGGUCGAGAGGUCCUGCGCCGAAAAUGUCCGGGGCUGAAACACGACACCGAAGCUGUGGGAUUUACUUAAGUAAAUCGGUAGGGGAGCAUUGUUAACUGGAUGAAGCAGUACCGGAAGGGGCUGUGGACGGUUAAGAAGGGAGAAUGCCGGAAUGAGUAGCGAGAUGGAGGUGGGAAUCCUCCAGGCCGAAUAUCUAAGGUUUCCAGGGUAAAGCUGAUCUGCCCUGGGUAAGUCGGGGCCUAAGGCGAGGUCGAAAGACGUAGUCGAUGGAUAACAGGUUGAGAUUCCUGUACUGCUGCAUGGCAGAACUGUGGGGACACAGGUGGAGAGCGCAAACCGGGAAUGGAAAGACCGGGGCAAGCGAAGUAGGGGUGCGGUUGGCAAAUCCGCCGCGCUGACCCGAAGACGUGAUGCAUAGCGAACUUAAAGUAGCGAAAUGCGUGAGCCAGCUGUCGAGAAAAGCCGCUAUUGUCCAUGCAGUACCCGUACCGUAAACCGACACAGG